rnacentral:rRNA from 1 species
GCAGUGAGGAAUAUUGGACAAUGGGUGAGAGCCUGAUCCAGCCAUCCCGCGUGAAGGACGACGGCCCUAUGGGUUGUAAACUUCUUUUAUACUGGGAUAAACCUACUUACGUGUAAGUAGCUGAAGGUACAGUAUGAAUAAGCACCGGCUAACUCCGUGCCAGCAGCCGCGGUAAUACGGAGGGUGCAAGCGUUAUCCGGAUUUAUUGGGUUUAAAGGGUCCGUAGGCGGACUCGUAAGUCAGUGGUGAAAUCUCAUAGCUUAACUAUGAAACUGCCAUUGAUACUGCGGGUCUUGAGUAAAGUAGAAGUGGCUGGAAUAAGUAGUGUAGCGGUGAAAUGCAUAGAUAUUACUUAGAACACCAAUUGCGAAGGCAGGUCACUAUGUUUUAACUGACGCUGAUGGACGAAAGCGUGGGGAGCGAACAGGAUUAGA